UGGGGAAUCUUCCGCAAUGGACGAAAGUCUGACGGAGCAACGUCGCGUGAGUGAAGACGGCCUUCGGGUUGUAAAGCUCUGUGAUCCGGGACGAAAGAGCCUGAGGUAAAUAGCCUAAGGAAGUGACGGUACCGGAAAAGCAAGCCACGGCUAACUACGUGCCAGCAGCCGCGGUAAUACGUAGGUGGCAAGCGUUGUCCGGAAUUAUUGGGCGUAAAGCGCGCGCAGGCGGCUUACUAAGUCCAUCUUAAAAGUGCGGGGCUUAACCCCGUGAUGGGAUGGAAACUGGAAAGCUUGAGUAUCGGAGAGGAAAGUGGAAUUCCUAGUGUAGCGGUGAAAUGCGUAGAGAUUAGGAAGAACACCGGUGGCGAAGGCGACUUUCUGGACGAAAACUGACGCUGAGGCGCGAAAGCGUGGGGAGCAAACAGG
rnacentral:rRNA from 1 species